rnacentral:rRNA from 1 species
CGGACGGGUGAGUAACACGUGGAUAACCUACCUAUAAGACUGGAAUAACUUCGGGAAACCGGAGCUAAUACCGUAUAAUAUAUUGAACCGCAUGGUUCAAUAGUGAAAGACGGUUUUGCUGUCACCUAUAGAUGGAUCCGCGCCGCAUUAGCUAGUUGGUAAGGUAACGGCUUACCAAGGCAACGAUGCGUAGCCGACCUGAGAGGGUGAUCGGCCACACUGGAACUGAGACACGGUCCAG